rnacentral:lncRNA from 1 species
GCGGUAUGACUCCUGGCCCUUGGACGAAGCAGGACUGCAGGAGGAACGAGCAGCUGAUGGAUUUACCCCUCGUCUCAUCCGAAUAUCUGAUACCUCAUCCUCUACCGUAGCAUAUGACAUGGCAGGACAUUUGUUGCUCCCUUUUGCACAUGAGGACGGCGAGGUCGUUGGGGAUCGUGGAGUCGAUGGGCAGCAGAUAGAAAACUUCCUUUCUAAACUGUUGCUUUGAUGGCAGCUCAAAUUCAUCAUCGCUACGUUACAGAAUUGCAGGUUUUAAAUCAUCCUUACGUAUUCUAGAUAAACAAAUACAUUGUACAUUAUUCAAAGCAUCCACCAUUGACGAUUGAUCUUGUCAAUACAAAAUCUCUCUGCAUCUACAUUCUACAAUUUGAUCUCUACAAUAAUUUCGUGUUGCAAUGACAUUCUUGACCGAAACUCAUUCAGUUCUGAAGUUCAUUCAGUUCUACAAUGGCAUUCUAGCCUUUCCAAGCUCAUUAAUUCUGAAGCUCGUUCAGUUCAAGUUCUGCAAUGGCAUUCUAGGUUGUCGAUGUUAGCAAGGUGCUUUUAUGCAACAGCAAGCAAGGAACAGUUAUAAUCGGCAUAUUCAUAAGUUUUCUUUAAUGCAAAUAUGACCUGCUCAGUGCUGACCAUAAUGAUAUUGCCCUGACUAGCCAUUCCCUUCUCUAGGUGGUAAAUUACAACAUUCCUGACGCGAACAUCUCAUUAAUCAUUAUCUUGAGAAAGAUUAGUGCCACAAAACCUGCAAAAUUUGAAUGAAUGAAACAUAAAGCAAACGAUUGAUACAAAUACAACAAGAGUCAUCUUCCUUAGAUUGCCUGAGCUGCAAUCGACGCGAUGAGCCCUCGGCAAAAACUUGAGUGCCUCCUACGACGAGUCGAGGUGCCAGUACCAUCAGCACCCCACGAUGAGAGUGCUGCAGGCAACGACAUCGAUGGGGAGCCGGAGCCCUCAGGGUUG